rnacentral:lncRNA from 1 species
CAACUUUCAAAGGAUCAGAGAAUGAAUCUAGUACUGAAAGCAUACGCUAGAGCUAGCUAGCACUGCAGUGCAUACAAUGUGGUGAGUAGUUGACUCAAAGAGAAAGAAAGACAAUAGUUUAACAGUUUUCAACAAAUGAAUUUCUUCAAAAAUGAAGGCAAGAGAGAAAGAGAGAUUUCAUCAUUUUCUUUCACUUUCAGUUUCACUUACUAGCAAACUCAGCUGGCUAGUUUAGUUACUCAAACACCCGGCUCAAACAGAGGGAUGCUAUGUUAGCUAGCUGGCUAUGACUAUCCAUCACAACACUGGAACUCUUCCAAGUCAAGAUGAAGUCCUGCAACUAGUGAGGUACGGUCACCCGACAACCUACCCAUUUGAUCCCAUCCUCCAUUCUCCUGACCAUCUCUGGAUACCUUUUACCAUUCCUCACUUCCCUAUCAACUCAUCCCUGACCACUGGUUGCAUCCCCUCUGACUUCAAAAUGGCCCGAAUCGCUCCCAUCCUCAAGAAACCAACACCCGACUCAUCUGACGUCAAAAACUACAGACCAGUAUCCCUUAUUUAUUUUCUUUGCAAAACACUUGUGUGCUGUCUCUGACAAACUAUCUCACUAUCUCUCUCAGAAUAAUCUUCUUGACCCUAACCAGUCAGGUUUUUGUCCUAGGCUGAAAGGCUUGCCAAGAACCAUUACUGUUUACAGUUGGAAUGAUCAGUACACAGAGCUGGCUGUCCGACCAUACUGAGCAACCGGGCAAGAAGGACCUUGGUCAGGGAGGUGACCCAGAAUCCAAUGACCACUCUGACAGAACUACAGAGUUCUUUGGCA